UACUCCGCCGGCGACCGGCGCACGGGUGAGUAACACGUAUGAAACCUGCCCGUAGCAGGGGGAUAAGCGGAAGAAAUUCCGUCUAAUACCGCGUAACAACCCGAGGAGGCAUCUCCUCGGGUUUAAAGGAAGCGAUUCCGGCUACGGAUGGUCAUGCGUCGCAUUAGCUUGUUGGCGGGGUAACGGCCCACCAAGGCGACGAUGCGUAGGGGUUCUGAGAGGAAGGUCCCCCACACUGGUACUGAGACACGGACCAGACUCCUACGGAAGGCAGCAG
rnacentral:rRNA from 1 species